rnacentral:rRNA from 1 species
GACGAACGCUGGCGGCGUGCUUAACACAUGCAAGUCGAACGGAAAGGCCCUGCUUUUGUGGGGUGAUCGAGUGGCGAACGGGUGCGUAACACGUGAGUAACCUGCCCUUGACUUUGGGAUAACUUCAGGAAACUGGGGCUAAUACCGGAUAGGAGAUCCUGCUGCAUGGUGGGGGUUGGAAAGUUUCGGCGGUUGGGGCUGGACUCGGGGCUUAUCAGCUUGUUGGUGGGGUAGUGGCAUACCAAGGCUUGGACGGGUAGCCGGCCUGAGAGGGUGACCGGCCACAUGGGGACUGAGGUACGGCCCAGACUCCUACGGGAGGCAGCAGUGGGGAAUAUUGCACAAUGGGCGGAAGCCUGAUGCAGCAACGCCGCGUGCGGGAUGGCGGCCUUCGGGUUGUAAACCGCUUUCGCCUGUGACGAAGCGUGAGUGACGGUAAUGGGUAAAGAAGCACCGGCUAACUACGUG